UGAGCUGCGAUCSCAUGGUCAGUAGCUGGAAARAUUUUUUGGUCAGGGAUGAGCUCGCGGCCUAUCAGCUUGUUGGUGAGGUAAUGGCUCACCAAGGCGUCGACGGGUAGCCGGCCUGAGAGGGUGACCGGCCACACUGGGACUGAGACACGGCCCAGACUCCUACGGGAGGCAGCAGUGGGGAAUAUUGCACAAUGGGCGCAAGCCUGAUGCAGCAACGCCGCGUGAGGGAUGACGGCCUUCGGGUUGUAAACCUCUUUUAGCAGGGAAGAAGCGAAAGUGACGGUACCUGCAGAAAAAGCGCCGGCUAACUACGUGCCAGCAGCCGCGGUAAUACGUAGGGCGCAAGCGUUAUCCGGAAUUAUUGGGCGUAAAGAGCUCGUAGGCGGUUUGUCGCGUCUGCUGUGAAAUCCCGAGGCUCAACCUCGGGUCUGCAGUGGGUACGGGCAGACUAGAGUGCGGUAGGGGAGAUUGGAAUUCCUGGUGUAGCGGUGGAAUGCGCAGAUAUCAGGAGGAACACCGAUGGCGAAGGCAGAUCUCUGGGCCGUAACUGACGCUGAGGAGCGAAAGGGUGGGGAGCAAACAGGCUUAGAUACCCUGGUAGUCCACCCCGUAAACGUUGGGAACUAGUUGUGGGGUCCAUUCCACGGAUUCCGUGACGCAGCUAACGCAUUAAGUCCCCG
rnacentral:rRNA from 1 species